UACGUAGGGCGCAAGCGUUGUCCGGAAUUAUUGGGCGUAAAGAGCUCGUAGGCGGUUUGUCGCGUCUGCUGUGAAAACCUGAGGCUCAACCUCGGGCUUGCAGUGGGUACGGGCAGACUAGAGUGCGGUAGGGGUGACUGGAAUUCCUGGUGUAGCGGUGAAAUGCGUAGAUAUCGAGAGGAACACCUGCGGCGAAGGCGGGUUGCUGGGCUGACACUGACGCUGAGGCGCGAAAGCUAGGGGAGCGAACGGG
rnacentral:rRNA from 1 species